rnacentral:misc_RNA from 1 species
AAUACGGAUCGGUUGUGAAGUACCCAGAUAUUACAAAAGGAGUGAUGGAGAAUGAACCGGGAUGGAAAACGGAUGCAAUUGCGGUUCAAGGUUUGGGUUUGGUUAACCCGAAAAGUGCUUAUAAGUUUUAUAACGAAAUGCAUAGUUAUUUGGCAUCAGCUGGAGUGGAUGGGUUGAAGGUGGAUGUGCAGUGUAUACUGGAGACUUUAGGGGGUGGUUUAGGGGGUCGGGUUGAGCUCACUAAACAGUAUCAUCAAGCUCUUGAUGCUUCUGUUGCUCGGAAUUUUCCUGAUAAUGGUUGCAUUGCUUGCAUGAGCCACAAUACUGAUGCACUUUACUGUUCAAAGCAGACGGCAGUUGUGAGAGCAUCAGAUGACUUCUAUCCAAGAGAUCCAGCUUCGCACACCAUUCACAUUGCUUGUGUGGCAUACAACAGUGUGUUCCUUGGAGAAAUUAUGCUGCCUGAUUGGGACAUGUUCCACUCCCUUCAUCCAGCAGCCGAGUAUCAUGGCUCAGCGAGGGCGUUGAGUGGUGGACCUGUCUAUGUGAGUG